rnacentral:rRNA from 1 species
UACAGAGGUGGCAAGCGUUGUUCGGAAUUACUGGGCGUAAAGGGCGCGUAGGCGGUCUUGUAAGUCCUGUGUGAAAUCCCUCGGCUCAACUGAGGAACUGCACGGGAAACUGCUUGGCUUGAAUCCGGGAGAGGGAUGCGGAAUUCCAGGUGUAGCGGUGAAAUGCGUAGAUAUCUGGAGGAACACCGGUGGCGAAGGCGGCAUCCUGGACCGGCAUUGACGCUGAGGAGCGAAAGCCAGGGGAGCAAACGGG